rnacentral:rRNA from 1 species
GUGAGGAAUAUUGGGCAAUGGGCGCAAGCCUGACCCAGCAACGCCGCGUGAAGGAAGACGGUCUUCGGAUUGUAAACUUCUUUUGUCAGGGACGAAUAAUGACGGUACCUGGCGAAUAAGCCACGGCUAACUACGUGCCAGCAGCCGCGGUAAUACGUAGGUGGCAAGCGUUGUCCGGAUUUACUGGGUGUAAAGGGCGAGUAGGCGGAUUUGCAAGUCAGGUGUGAAAGCCCGGGGCUUAACCCCGGGUCUGCAUUUGAAACUGCGGAUCUUGAGUAUCGGAGAGGCAGGCGGAAUUCCCGGUGUAGCGGUGGAAUGCGUAGAUAUCGGGAGGAACACCAGUGGCGAAGGCGGCCUGCUGGACGACAACUGACGCUGAGGAGCGAAAGCGUGGGGAGCAAACAGGAUUAGAUACCCCGGUAGUCC